AGAGUUUGAUUCUGGCUCAGAACGAACGCUGGCGGCGUGGAUUAGGCAUGCAAGUCGUACGCGAAUUGGAUUUGAGUAUUCUUCGGAAUGCAAGAAUCCAUAGUAGAGUGGCGAACAGGUGAGUAACACGUGGGCAACCUGCCCUCGAGUUGGGAAUAACACCCCCAACGGGGUGCUAAUACCGAAUAACAUCGCGCCGACUAUGUCGGUGCGAUCAAAGACAGCCUCUGCUUGCAAGCUGUCGCUUGAGGAUGGGCCCGCGUCCUAUUAGCUUGUUGGUGAGGUAACGGCUCACCAAGGCGAUGAUGGGUAGCUGGUCUGAGAGGAUGGUCAGCCACACUGGGAUUGAGAUACGGCCCAGACUCCUUCGGGGGGCAGCAGUCGAGAGGCUUUGGCAAUGGGGGAAACCCUGACCAAGCGACGCCGCGUGGGUGAUGAAGGCCUUCGGGUUGUAAAGCCCUGUUGAGGGGGAAGAAACGCCUCGAGGUUAAUAGCCUCGGGGUUUGACGGUACCCCUAGAGGAAGCUCCGGCAAACUCCGUGCCAGCAGCCGCGGUAAUACGGAGGGAGCAAGCGUUGUUCGGAUUUACUGGGUGUAAAGGGCGUGUAGGCGGCCUUGUAAGUCGGGCGUGAAAACCUCUGGCUCAACCAGAGAUCUGCGCUUGAUACUGCGAGGCUUGAGUGCAGGAGAGGAAAGCGGAAUUCCUGGUGUAGCGGUGAAAUGCGUAGAUAUCAGGAAGAACACCAGUGGCGAAGGCGGCUUUCUGGUCUGUCACUGACGCUAAGGCGCGAAAGCCAGGGGAGCGAACGGGAUUAGAUACCCCGGUAGUCCUGGCCGUAAACGUUGGCACUAGGUGUAGGAGGUAUCGACCCCUUCUGUGCCGCAGCUAACGCAUUAAGUGCCCCACCUGGGGAGUACGACCGCAAGGUUGAAACUCAAAGGAAUUGACGGGGGCCCGCACAAGCGGUGGAGUAUGUGGUUCAAUUCGAUUCAACGCGAAGAACCUUACCCAGGCUUGACAUGCACUUGACAGGUGUGGAAACACACCCUCCCUUCGGGGCAGGUGCACAGGUGCUGCAUGGCUGUCGUCAGCUCGUGCCGUGAGGUGUUGGGUUAAGUCCCUUAACGAGCGCAACCCUUGCCCUUAGUUGCCAUCAGGUUAUGCUGGGCACUCUAGGGGGACUGCCGGUGAUGAAUCGGAGGAAGGUGGGGAUGACGUCAAGUCCUCAUGGUCCUUACGUCUGGGGCUACACACGUACUACAAUGGCCGGUACAAAGGGUCGCAAUGCCGCGAGGUGGAGCAAAUCCCAGAAAACCGGUCUCAGUUCGGAUUGGAGUCUGCAACUCGACUCCAUGAAGCUGGAAUCGCUAGUAAUCGCAGAUCAGCACGCUGCGGUGAAUACGUUCCCGGGCCUUGUACACACCGCCCGUCAAGCCACGAAAGCCAGGAGAACCCAAAGUCGCUGUACUAACCGCAAGGAAGGAAGCGCCUAAGGUAAGACUGGUGAUUGGGGCUAAGUCGUAACAAGGUA
rnacentral:rRNA from 1 species